rnacentral:rRNA from 1 species
UACGUAGGGCGCAAGCGUUGUCCGGAAUUAUUGGGCGUAAAGAGCUCGUAGGCGGUUUGUCGCGUCUGCUGUGAAAACUCGAGGCUCAACCUCGGGCUUGCAGUGGGUACGGGCAGACUAGAGGGCGGUAGGGGUGACUGGAAUUCCUGGUGUAGCGGUGGAAUGCGCAGAUAUCAGGAGGAACACCGAUGGCGAAGGCAGGUCACUGGGCCGCAACUGACGCUGAGGAGCGAAAGCAUGGGGAGCGAACAGG